rnacentral:SRP_RNA from 1 species
GUGGGGCCGGGCUCGAGGAGGCUGCCGCCUCCNCCUCUAAAUGAGCCGUAGGUUAACGGGAGCCGAAACCCUCGCCUGGCGGCAGUGAGGGCCCUGCGUCAACGUGUUGCCGGCGAUGAAUGCCAGCCCCCUGGAACGCUCAUCCCUAGGCCCACUCACCGUAGGGUGGGUCGGGACUUAGGUACGCGGCGAAGUGGGUCAGGCCCGGGAGGGAGCAGCCCUAAGUCGCGGUGGGCGUGUUCAGGGGUCCACUGACUGGAUGCUGGGCGCCCGUCGGCGCUGGGUCUAGCUGCCGCUCGUGGAGGGGUUGGGCCCCAU